rnacentral:rRNA from 1 species
GACGAACGCUGGCGGCGUGCUUAACACAUGCAAGUCGAACGGUGAAGGGAAGCUUGCUUCCCGGAUCAGUGGCGAACGGGUGAGUAACACGUGGGCAAUCCGCCCCAGACUUUGGGAUAACUACUCGAAAGAGUAGCUAAUACCGAAUAUUCAGCCUUGCAGGCAUCUGCGAGGCUGGAAAGUUUCUCGGUCUGGGAUGAGCCCGCGGCCUAUCAGCUAGUUGGUGAGGUAAUGGCUCACCAAGGCGACGACGGGUAGCCGGCCUGAGAGGGCGACCGGCCACACUGGGACUGGGACACGGCCCAGACUCCUACGGGAGGCAGCAGUGGGGAAUAUUGCGCAAUGGGCGAAAGCCUGACGCAGCAACGCCGCGUGCGGGAUGAAGGCCUCGGUGUAACCGCUUCAGCAGGAAGAAGACGAAGUAGACGGUACCUGCAGAAGAAGCACCGGACUAACUACGUGCCAGCAGCCGCGGUAA